rnacentral:rRNA from 1 species
GACGAACGCUGGCGGCGUGCCUAAUACAUGCAAGUAGAACGCACAGUUUAUACCGUAGCUUGCUACACCAUAGACUGUGAGUUGCGAACGGGUGAGUAACGCGUAGGUAACCUGCCUGGUAGCGGGGGAUAACUAUUGGAAACGAUAGCUAAUACCGCAUAAUAUUAAUUAUUGCAUGAUAAUUAAUUGAACGGUGCAAUUGCACCACUACCAGAUGGACCUGCGUUGUAUUAGCUAGUAGGUGAGGUAACGGCUCACCUAGGCGACGAUACAUAGCCGACCUGAGAGGGUGAUCGGCCACACUGGGACUGAGACACGGCCCAGACUCCUACGGGAGGCAGCAGUAGGGAAUCUUCGGCAAUGGACGAAAGUCUGACCGAGCAACGCCGCGUGAGUGAAGAAGGUUUUCGGAUCGUAAAGCUCUGUUGUAAGGGAAGAACGGGUGUGAGAGUGGAAAGUUCACACUGUGACGGUAUCUUACCAGAAAGGGACGGCUAACUACGUG